GAAACACUUGCUUCCCAUUGAGGACAUGUCAGAUCCCCACAUCGCCCCAAAUCGCCCACUGGAUAAGCAAAGCUGGUUGAGCUGUGCUCAGCAAGCAAGCGGGUGCGGGGGAGACAGACAGCGUAGCAUCGGGGGUCCUGGUCCUGCCCGGAGCCUGGGCGAUCUGCUUAGGAGAUGCCGGGACAUCAGGAAGCCUGACUCUUCUUACAACCUUUCCUGCAACAAUUGUGAUUAUCCUGCCACCAAAGAGAAGAGGAAGCUAGUUUUAAUGGCCAAUAAGGGACAACGUUGGUGUUACCUGUCCUGGCUUGGGAAAAGGCUGGCCCUCUCCAAUCCUGACAGCCUGCGUGGCCCAAUGCUGGCCACCACCCGGCCGUGGGUUACCCACUCGGCUCGCUUUUCAAGUCUGCCUAUCGGAAAGUGGGUAGAAAUUUCUCUGCUUCUUGCUGCCCUCGUCUGAAAAACCCUGCUCCCGUGUUGGGGUCUCAGGAUUAUAGCAAAUGAUUAAAAAGAAUGUGAGGAUGGAUGAGUGGAUAGUAGAUGAGUAAAUGGAUGGAUAAAUGCGUAGAUGGACCAAUGAGUGAAUGGAUGGAUGAUGAUGAAUGGAUGAAUGGAUGGAUAAAUGGAUAGAUGGAUGAAUAGAUGAAUGGAUUAGAGGAUGGCUGAGUAGAUGGAUGAAUAAUUGGUAAGUAAAUAUAU
rnacentral:lncRNA from 1 species